rnacentral:rRNA from 1 species
UACUUAGGAAUCUACCUAGUAGUGGGGGAUAGCACGGGGAAACUCGUAUUAAUACCGCAUACGUCCUACGGGAGAAAGGGGGCAACUUGUUGCUCUCGCUAUUAGAUGAGCCUAAGUCGGAUUAGCUAGAUGGUGGGGUAAAAGCCUACCAUGGCGACGAUCUGUAGCUGGUUUGAGAGGAUGAUCAGCCACACUGGGACUGAGACACGGCCCAGACUCCUACGGGAGGCAGCAGUGGGGAAUAUUGCACAAUGGGGGAAACCCUGAUGCAGCCAUGCCGCGUGUGUGAAGAAGGCCUGG